UACAGAGGGGGCGAGCGUUGUUCGGAAUUACUGGGCGUAAAGGGCGCGUAGGCGGCCCGCUAAGUCGAACGUGAAAUCCCCAGGCUCAACCUGGGAACUGCGUCCGAUACUGGCAGGCUUGAAUCCGGGAGAGGGAUGUGGAAUUCCAGGUGUAGCGGUGAAAUGCGUAGAUAUCUGGAGGAACACCGGUGGCGAAGGCGGCAUCCUGGACCGGCAUUGACGCUGAGGAGCGAAAGCUAGGGGGAGCAAACGGG
rnacentral:rRNA from 1 species